rnacentral:rRNA from 1 species
UACGGAGGGGGGCUAGCGUUGUUCGGAAUUACUGGGCGUAAAGCGCGCGUAGGCGGACCUGCAAGUCGGGGGGUGAAAGCCCGAGGCUCAACCUCGGAACUGCCUUCGAUACUGCGGGUCUCGAGUCCGGGAGAGGUGAGUGGAAUUCCUAGUGUAGAGGUGAAAUUCGUAGAUAUUAGGAAGAACACCAGUGGCGAAGGCGGCUCACUGGCCCGGUACUGACGCUGAGGCGCGAAAGCGUGGGGAGCAAACGG